UCGACGCAGCCAUCGCAGAACACAGCAGAGCACCGCCAUCGCCAUCGCCGUGCAGCCGUCGCCAUCGCCAUCGCCAUCGCCGUGCAGCCGUCGCCAUCGCCAUCGCCAUCGCCAUCGCCGUGCAGCAGAACUCCGUCGCAGUCGCCUCCUCCUCCGUCUAUGACUGCCUCCUCCUCCAUUUGUGACUGGAGAUAAUAACAUAACAAAUGGUGAAACUUUUGAGCGCCCAUCGCAAAGGAAAGCAACAAUACCAUGGAACUCAGUUAUGGUGAACGCAAGUAUAAAGAGUCCAUAUGUGGUCACCAUAAUAUUUCUCAACAUUACUCGAUGCAGCAGGUACAGAUGAGUAGACACUGGAGCGCGCUAGAGACUUGGAG